rnacentral:tRNA from 2 species
CGGGCUUCGGCUUGGCGGGCGCGGGCUUGGAGGGCUCGGGUUCCGGCUUGGUGGGCUCGGGCUUGGCGGGUUCCGGCUUGGCGGGCUCGG